CGGGAAGUGUUGCCAACUCGCAUAUAUUUUUGCUACAUGUUCUUGUAUGAUCUGAAAUAUACUGUAAUAUUCUAGACUGUACUGUUCUGGAUAUAUAUAGGAGAAGAGGGCGAGAGAGGGCCAGUCCCAGUCAUAGUAAGCUAGUGGUAAGUGAAGAGUCAGAGUGAAGUGUACUACUAAGGAAGAAUAUUAAACUACAGAAGCUGUGCAAAGUGUUACAUAUCUCCCUCCCACGGAGUCUCCUGACGGCGACACGGAACCCAAGUAACACGUCCGGCAUAACAAUAUUAUACAUUUGGUUAUGAUGUUUAUAGGCCUCAAAAUGACUAAGUGCUUGAUUUUCAAAAACAUUCCCCCAGCCGCACAGACAUGCUCGCCCCCGCCCACCCAUGCACCCACUCGGGAACCCAUGAUGCCCCCUAGCCACCCUAAAGACUCUGCCAAAAUUAUGGGACUGGGAUGUUUAAAUCUACUUUUUGCAGCUCAUUAGGUAAAUAAUACCGUACUUUUUGCAGCUCAUUAGAUAAAUAACACUGUUCUUUUUGCAGCUCAUUAGAUAAAUAACAACACCGUACUUUUUGCAGCUCAUUAGAUAAAUAACAACACUGUACUUUUUGCAGCUCAUUAGAUAAAUAACAACACUGUACUUUUUGCAGCUCAUUAGGUAAAUAACAACACCGUACUUUUUGCAGCUCAUUAGGUAAAUAACAACACCGUACUUUUUGCAGUUCAUUAGGUAAAUAACAACACCGUACUUUUUGCAGUUCAUUAGGUAAAUAACAACACCGUACUUUUUGCAGCUCAUUAGGUAAAUAACAACACCGUACUUUUUGCAGCUCAUUAGGUAAAUAACAACACCGUACUUUUUGAAGCUCAUUAGGUAAAUAACAUUCUCCCAUAUCAAGUUAACCCCCCCAAUCCUUACUUUGUCUGCCUGACCCCCCCACCCUUACCUUGUCUGCCUGAACUAAGUAUAACCGAGUUGGGGUUUUGUUUUAUUAAGCUGUCGGCAUUGGUUAAGGUUACUUUUUCAUAUUAGCAUUUAACUAUAGCUAUAGUAACUGGAAAGACUAAGACUUUAGUUAUGAAUGUGAAGUUAAAAGGAUGAAUUGUAGAAGUUUAGGGAAGGCAAGAACAUAUGCUAAAGUUGGAAGUUACUGUAUAAACAAAUUAGUUUAUGCAAAAAAAAAAAAAAAAAAAAAAAAA